AGAGUUUGAUCCUGGCUCAGGAUGAACGCUAGCGGGAGGCCUAACACAUGCAAGCUGAGCGGUAGAGUCUCUUCGGAGACUUGAGAGCGGCGUACGGGUGCGGAACACGUGUGCAACCUGCCUUUAUCAGGGGGAUAGCCUUUCGAAAGGAAGAUUAAUACCCCAUAAUAUAUAGAGUGGCAUCACUUUAUAUUGAAAACUGAGGUGGAUAAAGAUGGGCACGCGCAAGAUUAGAUAGUUGGUGAGGUAACGGCUCACCAAGUCGAUGAUCUUUAGGGGGCCUGAGAGGGUGAUCCCCCACACUGGUACUGAGACACGGACCAGACUCCUACGGGAGGCAGCAGUGAGGAAUAUUGGACAAUGGGUUAGCGCCUGAUCCAGCCAUCCCGCGUGAAGGACGACGGCCCUAUGGGUUGUAAACUUCUUUUGUACAGGGAUAAACCUAUUUACGUGUAAAUAGCUGAAGGUACUGACGAAU
rnacentral:rRNA from 1 species